GGCCAGGGGGAAAAAAGCGCUAUAUGAUGAAACAUUUAGUAUGGGCAAGCAGGGAGCUGGAAAAUUUUGCACUUAACCCUGCCC
rfam:HIV-1 isolate C-96BW12.10 country Botswana, complete genome.